ensembl:lncRNA
GACGGUUUCUCGAGUUCACGCGGGAAUUUAUGAUGGAGUUAUACUAAAAUAGCGGGUUUCGAUUUAGGGUUAAAAGAAGGUAGGCUUAUGUAUAGUAAACAUCACUUGAAGAGACGUUUAAGUGUACUACAACGCUAAUUUGACAAGAGUCUAUCAAGUGACAGGCUUAUCUAAUUAUGGAUUUGGUGCCUUUCCAGACUCCAUAGUGACCUCAAACUGUGCAAUAUCCGCCUUCACUGUCUCUCAGAGCAAGGGCAGAAUUCAAAGUGGAAGGAAUUGUGGUGCUUACCAUCUGUAAUCUCUCAGAGGGAAGAAUCAUCUCAUGCUAUGAUUAUAGAGAAGGAACGAGGAUUAUUACCGUGGCCCUGUGAGUGAAGCUCG